ACGAGCGCUGGCGGCGUGCUUCACACAUGCCAGUCGCACGGAAAGGCCCUGCUUUUGUGGGGUGCUCGAGUGGCGAACGGGUGAGUAACACGUGAGUAACCUGCCCUUGACUUUGGGAUAACUUCAGGAAACUGGGGCUAAUACCGGAUAGGAGCUCCUGCUGCAUGGUGGGGGUUGGAAAGUUUCGGCGGUUGGGGAUGGACUCGCGGCUUAUCAGCUUGUUGGUGGGGUAGUGGCUUACCAAGGCUUUGACGGGUAGCCGGCCUGAGAGGGUGACCGGCCACAUUGGGACUGAGAUACGGCCCAGACUCCUACGGGAGGCAGCAGUGGGGAAUAUUGCACAAUGGGCGGAAGCCUGAUGCAGCAACGCCGCGUGCGGGAUGACGGCCUUCGGGUUGUAAACCGCUUUCGCCUGUGACGAAGCGUGAGUGACGGUAAUGGGUAAAGAAGCACCGGCUAACUACGUG
rnacentral:rRNA from 1 species